rnacentral:lncRNA from 1 species
UCCAGAAUAAAACAGAGAAAACACAAACUAAGAAGUAAAAUCUUCAUCUCUGCAAGGUUCUUUAUUCCAUUCUUAUCUUCAUGUUCUGUCCCCAUCAGCCCUAUAAUCCGUCACAUUUACUGCUCCUACCUCAGUCUCACAUCCCACUCCUGUUUGUCACUAAAUGUUAUUUUUCGUGUCAUCGUUUCCCCAGAGAGAAGACACUAUUGACAUGAUGUUCGAAACAAAACAUCUUCUGUCUACAAUGUCGAUGACAACACUGUACCCUUGAUUUCAGUCUCUUCUUUGGCAAAAUGAACCAGGUCAUGGACCAGUGUGCUCAAUGCCAGAUGAUAAAGCCCAAAAAAGAAAUUGAACUCCUUAGCCCUCAUCAUCUCCCCUGGAGAAGACAACUAGAGAUACACGAAUGUGUGAGGAUAUUUCUGAGCUUGGUUUCAUGUGAUGGAGGAUGAUUGACAGGAAGUAGAAAGACUGACUAUUCCAGAUCAAGAAGGUUGGACACAUCCUUUUAGAUUUGUUGGACACCCUCUGUUUGGAGAAGUCUUGAGUGAUUUCACCCUUCCAACCCUGAAAGCCAUUUUCUACUAUAUUUUUAAAGGUAUUGGAAGUUUGGAGUACUGGUCUGACUUUUUGCAAGUCUUUGUGUCAUUUACUACAAAGCAAGCUUCUCUUGCAGCUAAGAAACUCACAGCAUAUUUAGAGUUGGGCUACCAUCACCAUUAUAUAGCUUGAGAACAUUUUCUUUCUUUUAAUUUAUUUUAAUUGACUAAUUUUUUAGCCCAAUUACAGUUUCUUGUCCCUCCUCUCUUCCCAGUUUCCCCAUCCUCCUCUUUUUCCUCACUCCUGAGUCUACUCCUGUUGCUUUCGAUACAGAAAAGGGCAGGUCUCCCAUAUAUAUCAUCCAGUCAUGGCAUAUCAAGUUUCAGUAAGACUAGGCACCUUCUCUCCUAUUCAGGCUGGAUGAGGCAAUCCAGUAGGAGGAAAGGGUUCCAAAAGCAAGCAACAGAGUCAGAGACAGCCCCAUAAGAAGA